rnacentral:rRNA from 1 species
UACGAAGGGGGCUAGCGUUGUUCGGAAUCACUGGGCGUAAAGGGCGCGUAGGCGGCUUUAUAAGUCGGGGGUGAAAGCCUGUGGCUCAACCACAGAAUUGCCUCGAUACUGUAUGGCUAGAGACCGGAAGAGGUAAGUGGAACUGCGAGUGUAGAGGUGAAAUUCGUAGAUAUUCGCAAGAACACCAGUGGCGAAGGCGGCUUACUGGUCCGGUUCUGACGCUGAGGCGCGAAAAGCGUGGGGAGCAAACAGGG